rnacentral:rRNA from 1 species
UUGACCUCAAAUCGGGUGAGACUACCCGCUGAACUUAAGCAUAUCAAUAAGCGGAGGAAAAGAAACUAACAAGGAUUCCCCUAGUAACUGCGAGUGAAGCGGGAAAAGCUCAAAUUUAAAAUCUGGCGGUCUUUGGCCGUCCGAGUUGUAAUUUAGAGAAGCGUCUUCCGCGCCGGACCGUGCACAAGUCUCCUGGAAUGGAGCGUCAUAGAGGGUGAGAAUCCCGUCUUUGGCACGGAUGCCCGGUGCUUCUGUGAUGCGCUCUCGAAGAGUCGAGUUGUUUGGGAAUGCAGCUCAAAAUGGGUGGUGAACUCCAUCUAAAGCUAAAUAUUGGCGAGAGACCGAUAGCGAACAAGUACCGUGAGGGAAAGAUGAAAAACACUUUGGAAAGAGAGUGAAACAGUACGUGAAAUUGUUGAAAGGGAAACGCUUGAAGUCAGUCGCGUCGACCGAGACUCAGCCUUGCCUCGGCUUGGUGUACUUCUCGGCCCGACGGGUCAGCGUCAAUUUUGCCCCUCGGAUAAUGGCAAGGGAAAGGUGGCACCUUUACGGGUGUGUUAUAGUCUCCUGUCGCAUGCGAGGGGUGGGAUUGAGGAACUCAGCGCGCACCUUGGUGUCGGGGCUUCUGCCCACGUCACGCGC